rnacentral:rRNA from 1 species
GACGAACGCUGGCGGCGUGCUUAACACAUGCAAGUCGAACGAAAAGGCCCUGCUUUCAGGGUACUCGAGUGGCGAACGGGUGAGUAACACGUGGGUGAUCUGCCCUGCACUUCGGGAUAAGCCUGGGAAACUGGGUCUAAUACCGGAUAGGAGCCAUUUUUAGUGUGAUGGUUGGAAAGUUUUUUCGGUGUAGGAUGAGCUCGCGGCCUAUCAGCUUGUUGGUGUGGUAAUGGCCUACCAAGGCGGCGACGGGUAGCCGGCCUGAGAGGGUGGACGGCGACCCUGGGACUGAGAGACGGCCCAGACACCGACGGGAGGGAGAAGUGGGGAAUAUUGAAGAAUGAGCGCAAGCCUGAUGCAGAGACGCUGCGUGGGGGAUGACGGUGUUAGGGUUGUAAACUACUUUCGCUAGGGACGAAGCUUUUUGUGACGGUACCUAGAUAAGAAGCAACGGCUAACUACGUG